rnacentral:rRNA from 1 species
GCAGCCGCGGUAAUACGGGGGAUGCAAGCGUUAUCCGGAUUUAUUGGGUUUAAAGGGUGCGUAGGCGGUCUGGUAAGUCAGCGGUGAAAUUCAGGGGCUCAACCUCUGCCGUGCCGUUGAUACUGCUGGACUAGAAUGCGGAUGCCGUGGGAGGAAUGUGUGGUGUAGCGGUGAAAUGCAUAGAUAUCACACAGAACACCGAUUGCGAAGGCAUCUCACGAAUCCGCGAUUGACGCUGAGGCACGAAAGCGUGGGGAUCAAACAGGAUUAGAUACCCC